CCUUGCAGCGGCACCACAUCAACUUGGUCAGGACAUGGCGAAAGCAGCA
rnacentral:SRP_RNA from 1 species